UUUAGUUGAGUUUUGGUCUUCACGCUUUACUCAAGUGACCGAGCCCAAUAUUGAGUAACCUUUAUCUCCUCUACCGCGUCUGAUCGAAAUUUAGGGUUCUUCUAUUGGUGGAUUCGAUUAGGCCGGUUGAGAUUCUUCUUCAUUAGUCGAAAUGCCUCCGUUUCAUCCCAUUUAACCUCUUCUUAACUCGAACAAUCACUAUAUAGAGCCAUCAAUGUGAAGUUCCGUCUUGCGAGGCGGUGUAUCUGCCCGUAUAAAAACCAACCAUUAAACUUAUUUUCUGAGAACUGGCUAGCGCAUCAAUUUUCCUUUUUGAUUUGAAGACUGGAUCGACGAUGCUCCUCCACCGUUGAAUUGCGGUUGAUCCGUUUCUGGGAGGCCAGGAACGUCUCGAGGCGGUGGCGAACUCAGGCGAGUGGAUAAGCUCAUACUGGAUUCACAGGCAACCAUUGCUGCGACUUGCUUGCUUGGAAAGCCUGCAAUGAUAAUCAUGACAUACCAGAAGAUGUAGAUAUAUCGUUGUAAAUCGAACCUUCAACUUGAUCACUUCUUGACGGUUGUAACAACUAUAAACGCAAGACGGGUCAAAGCAGAGAAUAUAUGCACACUCAUCAUGAAGUACGCAGAGAACCGGUUGCCACUAAUCGAAGAUGAUUUGGAAAUAAUACGAGGUUACACCGUUACAGGUCAAGAAACAUUGAGUUGCAGUUCAGUGUUGAACGAGAGAGAACAGAGGAAAGAAGUUUAGGAUGUUAAGAACAAAAGUGAGUCAUAGAAAGCUUAGUAAGUAUGCUUCAUACACAACCUGGAACAGUACCAUGCCAGUUUUUGUUGAGCUAGGCUCGCAUAUUUCGAUGGUGACUACCGGCCAAGCGCAGCAAAGGAUCUUAUAUAUAUACCAAAUAAGUCGAUAAGAAGAUGGCACAGAGAGAAAGAAGAAAGCAAUGAUCAAGAAAACAAUUACCAAAAAGGCUCUAAAAGCUUCUGGACAGACUGAUUUAUCUGGGAAUGCUUCCAAGGAUCUGCUGCAAAUGCAUAAAGUAAUCUUUACUUUCUAUAAAGUAAUUUACUAUCUUUUUUGUUCGUUUGUUUUCCUUUUGCGACAACUGAGGACUUUAUUGCUGUCCACUUGCAAACUUCUUGCACAUAUUGCUGUGCGGUGAUGGUAUCUUGAAUCGUUGGGUAUGCAGUCGGUGCAAAUACUGUCAGAUUUGUGAUAAGUGUUGAGGCUAUACAGAGGCGUGAAGACAUGAAGACAUCCUGUUAAUUUCAAUGAUACACGUACAUUAUAAACCGAUGUCCAAAUAUAUAGAAAUUUUUUUGUAAUGCUCAGGUUUAAUUAUUAGAAUAUGAUAUUUUUACUAA